rnacentral:rRNA from 1 species
AUUGAACGCUGGCGGCAGGCCUAACACAUGCAAGUCGAACGAGUGGCGGACGGGUGAGUAAUGUCUGGGACACUGCCUGCUGGGGGGGGAUAACUACUGGAAACGGUAUCUAAUACCGCAUACCAUCGGAUGUGCCCAGAUGGGAUUAGCUAGUAGGGGGGGUAAAGGCUCACCUAGGCGACGAUCCCUAGCUGGUCUGAGAGGAGGACCAGCCAAACUGGAACUGAGACAAGGGCCAGACGCCUACGGGAGGAAGCAGUGGGGAAUAUGGCACAAUGGGCGCAAGCCUGAUGAAGCCAUGCCGCGUGUAUGAAGAAGGCCUUGGGGUUGUAAAGUACUUUCAGCGGGGAGGCGUUACCCGCAGAAGAAGCACCGGCUAACUCCGUGCCAGCAGCCGCGGUAAUUC